rnacentral:rRNA from 1 species
CACUAACUGGAGGACCGAACCGACUAAUGUUGAAAAAUUAGCGGAUGACUUGUGGCUGGGGGUGAAAGGCCAAUCAAACCGGGAGAUAGCUGGUUCUCCCCGAAAGCUAUUUAGGUAGCGCCUCGUGAACUCAUCUCCGGGGGUAGAGCACUGUUUCGGCAAGGGGGUCAUCCCGACUUACCAACCCGAUGCAAACUGCGAAUACCGGAGAAUGUUAUCACGGGAGACACACGGCGGGUGCUAACGUCCGUCGUGAAGAGGGAAACAACCCAGACCGCCAGCUAAGGUCCCAAAGUCAUGGUUAAGUGGGAAACGAUGUGGGAAGGCCCAGACAGCCAGGAUGUUGGCUUAGAAGCAGCCAUCAUUUAAAGAAAGCGUAAUAGCUCACUGGUCGAGUCGGCCUGCGCGGAAGAUGUAACGGGGCUAAACCAUGCACCGAAGCUGCGGCAGCGACACUAUGUGUUGUUGGGUAGGGGAGCGUUCUGUAAGCCUGUGAAGGUGUGCUGUGAGGCAUGCUGGAGGUAUCAGAAGUGCGAAUGCUGACAUAAGUAACGAUAAAGCGGGUGAAAAGCCCGCUCGCCGGAAGACCAAGGGUUCCUGUCCAACGUUAAUCGGGGCAGGGUGAGUCGACCCCUAAGGCGAGGCCGAAAGGCGUAGUCGAUGGGAAACAGGUUAAUAUUCCUGUACUUGGUGUUACUGCGAAGGGGGGACGGAGAAGGCUAUGUUGGCCGGGCGACGGUUGUCCCGGUUUAAGCGUGUAGGCUGGUUUUCCAGGCAAAUCCGGAAAAUCAAGGCUGAGGCGUGAUGACGAGGCACUACGGUGCUGAAGCAACAAAUGCCCUGCUUCCAGGAAAAGCCUCUAAGCAUCAGGUAACAUCAAAUCGUACCCCAAACCGACACAGGUGGUCAGGUAGAGAAUACCAAGGCGCUUGAGAGAACUCGGGUGAAGGAACUAGGCAAAAUGGUGCCGUAACUUCGGGAGAAGGCACGCUGAUAUGUAGGUGAAGCGACUUGCUGGUGGAGCUGAAAUCAGUCGAAGAUACCAGCUGGCUGCAACUGUUUAUUAAAAACACAGCACUGUGCAAACACGAAAGUGGACGUAUACGGUGUGACGCCUGCCCGGUGCCGGAAGGUUAAUUGAUGGGGUCAGCGCAAGCGAAGCUCUUGAUCGAAGCCCCGGUAAACGGCGGCCGUAACUAUAACGGUCCUAAGGUAGCGAAAUUCCUUGUCGGGUAAGUUCCGACCUGCACGAAUGGCGU